GACCUCAUGAAGCUGGAAUCGCUAGUAAUCGUGGAUCAGCCACGCCACGGUGAAUACGUUCUCAAGCCUUGUACUC
rnacentral:rRNA from 1 species